CAGGCUGCAACCCGACCCUGCAUGAAGUCGGAAUUGCUAGUAAUCGCGGAUCAGCAUGCCGCGGUGAAUACGUUCCCGGGCCUUGUACACACCGCCCGUCACACCAUGAGAGUCGAUAACACCCGAAGCCUGUGAGCUAACCGCAAGGGGGCAGCAGUCGAAGGUGGGGUUGAUGAUUGGGGUGAAGUCGUAACAAGGUACC
rnacentral:rRNA from 1 species